AGAGUUUGAUCCUGGCUCAGAGUGAACGCUGGCAGCGUGGAUUAGGCAUGCAAGUCGAACGAGAUUCCUAGGGAUAGCAAUAUUCUUGGGAUGACAGUGGCGAAAGGGCGAGUAACACGUGGGCAAUCUGCCGUCAAGAUUGGGAUAACCCGCCGAAAGGUGGGCUAAUACCUGAUGUGGUCCUCCGACGCAUGUCGGGGUGAUUAAAGGUGGGGAUCGAAAGACCUGCCGCUUGAUGAGGAGCCCGCGCCCCAUCAGCUAGUUGGUGAGGUAACGGCCCACCAAGGCUUACGGGUAGCUGGUCUGAGAGGAUGGUCAGCCGCACUGGGACUGAGACACUGCCCAGACUCCUACGGGAGGCUGCAGUCGAGGAUCUUUUGCAAUGGGCGAAAGCCUGACAAAGCGACGCUGCGUGGAGGAUGAAGGCCUUCGGGUUGUAAACUCCUGUCAUCCGGGAACAAUUGUCGGCUGGUGAAUAACCGGUCGGCUUGAUGGUACCGGAAGAGGAAGCCACGGCUAACUCUGUGCCAGCAGCCGCGGUAAUACAGAGGUGGCGAGCGUUGUUCGGAUUUACUGGGCGUAAAGGGUGCGUAGGUGGUUUCGUGUGUCGGAUGUGAAAGCCCGUCGCUCAACGACGGAAAUGCAUUCGAAACUGCGGAACUGGAGUGCAGGAGGGGAGAGCGGAAUACUCGGUGUAGCGGUGAAAUGCGUUGAUAUCGAGUAGAACACCGGCGGCGUAGGCGGCUCUCUGGAAUGCAACUGACACUGAGGCACGAAAGCCAGGGGAGCAAACAGGAUUAGAUACCCUGGUAGUCCUGGCUGUAAACGGUGUGCACUUGGUGUGGGGGGAAUUAACCCCCUCUGUGCCGGAGCUAACGCGUUAAGUGCACCGCCUGGGGAGUACGGUCGCAAGAUUAAAACUCAAAGGAAUUGACGG
rnacentral:rRNA from 1 species